GAUGAACGCUGGCGGCGUGCCUAAUACAUGCCAGUCGAGCGAACGGACGAGAAGCUUGCUUCUCUGAUGUUAGCGGCGGACGGGUGAGUAACACGUGGAUAACCUACCUAUAAGACUGGGAUAACUUCGGGAAACCGUAGCUAAUACCGGAUAAUAUUUUGAACCGCAUGGUUCAAAAGUGAAAGACGGUCUUGCUGUCACUUAUAGAUGGAUCCGCGCUGCAUUAGCUAGUUGGUAAGGUAACGGCUUACCAAGGCAACGAUGCAUAGCCGACCUGAGAGGGCAAUCGGCCACACUGGAACUGAGACACGGUCCAGACUCCUACGGGAGGCAGCAGUAGGGAAUCUUCCGCAAUGGGCGAAAGCCUGACGGAGCAACGCCGCGUGAGUGAUGAAGGUCUUCGGAUCGUAAAACUCUGUUAUUAGGGAAGAACAUAUGUGUAAGUAACUGUGCACAUCUUGACGGUACCUAAUCAGAAAGCCACGGCUAACUACGUG
rnacentral:rRNA from 1 species